GGUCGCCGCGGUGCCGGUGCUGCUCGGGGCCGCCGCGCUGACGGCCGCGCUGCUGCUGUUCCCCCGGGAGGGCGAGAGCCCGGCCGCGGCCGGCGCCGAGGAGGUUUUGCUGUGCUUGAGCACGAAGCCAUCUGCGUUGUCAGGCACAGGGAUCUCCCCCAGUUUUUGGAUCAGGCUCUCUGAGCUGCCACCUUGAGCUCUCCCAGAGCUCUUUGGGCUUUGAAUACACAAAGUUUUGUGGCCUUUCAGAUUGUGGACACCUUCCUCAUUGGCCGCUUCAUCCUCCUGGCUGUGAUGAGCCUGGUUUUCCUGGGGUGCCUGUUCCUGUUCCUGAUUUACCACCUCAUGGAGCCUGUGUAUGCCACACCACUCCACAGCAGCUAGAGACAGUGAUCUCUGCAAAGAGGACAUCCUGACUGCAUGGCAGUAAAUGAGAGGAGACACCAAGAGGCUGUUCUGGAGGUGACCGUGAUGGUCUUUGUGAGCUCAGAGAGAGCCAGCAAAGCAAGUGAAGCCUUUGCUUCAUCUGAAAAAGCAAAGUUUGGUCUGAGCAUGAGCCACUUCCUCCCCAGGGAGUUCAAGCCUCUGCACCUGCAAAGGUGUGUGGAUGCUGCUCUGGUUUACAGAGCUGAGAUCCAGCACUUGGUGCUGCUCCUGACUCAGUGCACUGAACUGAACUGAGAUGGUUUGUUAUUGUUACCCACAAGAGACAGUUUGUUACUGCUCCUUUUUUACUGUGGUUUAAUAAAACUCUUUGAGAAA